GUUUAUGGCCAUACCACCCUGAAAAUGCUCAAUCUCCUAUGAUCUCCAAAGCUAACUAAGUAGGAUCAGUUCUGGUUGUACGUGAAUGGGGAGAAAGAACUCCAGAUCAUAAUAUACU
rnacentral:rRNA from 1 species